GACGAACGCUGGCGGCGUGCUUAACACAUGCAAGUCGAACGGAAAGGCCCUGCUUUUGUGGGGUGCUCGAGUGGCGAACGGGUGAGUAACACGUGAGUAACCUGCCCUUGACUUUGGGAUAACUUCAGGAAACUGGGGCUAAUACCGGAUAGGAGCUCCUGCUGCAUGGUGGGGGUUGGAAAGUUUCGGCGGUUGGGGAUGGACUCGCGGCUUAUCAGCUUGUUGGUGGGGUAGUGGCUUACCAAGGCUUUGACGGGUAGGCGGCCUGAGAGGGUGACCGGCCACAAUGGGACUGAGGUACGGACCAGACUCCAACGGGAGGCAGCAGUGGGGAAUAUUGCACAAUGGGCGGAAGCCUGAUGCAGCAACGCCGCGUGCGGGAUGACGGCCUUCGGGUUGUAAACCGCUUUCGCCUGUGACGAAGCGUGAGUGACGGUAAUGGGUAAAGAAGCACCGGCUAACUACGUG
rnacentral:rRNA from 1 species